UGGGGAAUUUUGCACAAUGGGCGCAAGCCUGAUGCAGCCAUGCCGCGUGUAUGAAGAAGGCCCUCGGGUUGUAAAGUACUUUCAGUCGGGAGGAAGGUGUCAAGGUUAAUAACCUUGGCAAUUGACGUUACCGACAGAAGAAGCACCGGCUAACUCCGUUCCAGCAGCCGCGGUAAUACGGAGGGUGCAAGCGUUAAUCGGAAUUACUGGGCGUAAAGCGCACGCAGGCGGUUGAUUGAGUCAGAUGUGAAAUCCCCGGGCUUAAACCGGGAAUUGCAUCUGAAACUGGUCAGCUGGAGUCGUGUAGAGGGGGGUAGAAUUCCAGGUGUGGCGGUGAAAUGCGUGGAGAUGUGGAGGAAUACCGGUGGCGAAGGCGGCCCCCUGGACAAAGACUGACGCUCAGGUGCGAAAGCGUGGGGGGCAAACAGG
rnacentral:rRNA from 1 species